rnacentral:rRNA from 1 species
AGCUAAAUACUGGCAGGAAACCGAUAGUAUAAAAGUACCGUGAGGGAAAGAUGCAAAGAACUUUGAAAAGAGAGUGAAAGAGUACCUGAAAUUGCUGAAAAGGAAGCGAACGAAGCUAGUGAACGCUGCGUCAUACUUUCCAACUUGCUUGCAAUUUGGACGCUGUGGCCAGCCCAGUUGGGCUUGAUUGCGACGGGUGAAAACAGGCAACGAAAAGAUUCCAUUUUCAAUCGCCUUCUCUUGCACCAGUCGCAUUUGAGCUGAACGAAAUAGAUUUGUUUGCCCCGUCUAGAAACACGGACCAAGGAGUCUAACAUAUGUGCGAGUACUGGGGCAAGAAACCUCGGUGCGCAAUGAAAGUGUCAGAGGCUGGAAUGUCGUAACAAGCAUUGCACAGUCCGCCGGCCUCAAUCCCUCGGGAAAAUGGUCUGAGUGUGAGCAUACAUGUUGGGACCCGAAAGAUGGUGAACUAUGCUUGAGUAGGGUGAAGCCAGGGGAAACUUUGGUGAAGGCUCGCAGCGAUUCUGACGUGCAAAUCGAUCGUCAAACUUGAGUAUAGGGGCGAAAGACUAAUCGAACUAUCUAGUAGCUGGUUCCCUCCGAAAUUUCCCUUAGGAUAGCUGCAAUCGAACAAACCAGUUUUGUCAGGUA